UGGGGAAUCUUGCACAAUGGGGGAAACCCUGAUGCAGCGACGCCGCGUGAGUGAUGAAGCCCUUCGGGGUGUAAAGCUCUUUCGACGGGAACGAUUAUGACGGUACCCGGAGAAGAAGCUGCGGCUAACUACGUGCCAGCAGCCGCGGUAAUACGUAGGCAGCAAGCGUUGUUCGGAAUUACUGGGCGUAAAGAGUAUGUAGGUGGUUUGCUAAGUCCGAUGUGAAAUCUCCCGGCUUAACUGGGAGGGUGCGUUAGAUACUGGCAGGCUUGAGUGUGGGAGAGGAAAGCGGAAUUCCUGGUGUAGCGGUGAAAUGCGUAGAUAUCAGGAGGAACGCCUGUGGUGUAGACGGCUUUCUGGACCAUUACUGACACUGAGAUACGAAAGCGUGGGUAGCAAA
rnacentral:rRNA from 1 species